GGUGUACUGUAGCUCAGUGGCAGAGCAUCUGCCUUGUAUUCAGAAGGUAUUGGGUUCAAUUCCUGGCAUCUCCA